GUAAGCCCAGCCUGGAAGCUUGAAAAAGCUACUGCCCUUGUGACAGUCCUUAAGCACUGGUGAGGUCAGCUGGUACAAAUGUUCCAGCCUCCUCUUCCCUGGGCUGACAAUCCCAGAAAGUCAGUUCACUUCCUGGGAAGAACUGCUGAAACUGAGCCCUCAUUCCCUACCAGGCAUAACACAUGGAAACUAAUGGUGUUCUACAGUUGCUGAGGCAAGUGUAACACUAAAGCCAUCUGAGGACCUUGAAGUGAACAAGCCUAAGAGAAGUCAAAACUCUGGUGAACUAAAGAAGACAGAGAGAGAAUCGAUGUCUUUGAAAAUGUGUUUGUUUUUCCAGCCUUAGAAUUACCCCACAACCAUGUAUUUAGUUAUGUGAGGUAAUACACAUACUUACUCUUUGCCUUCUAUAUUUUCUGUUAUGUUUAGCCAAAAUAUAUCUUACUGUAUACACCUGUCUUUAAAGAUUUCAAAAUAUAAUGAAUGUCAUGACUAACAUCAAA